rnacentral:SRP_RNA from 13 species
ACCGGGCACAGUGGCUCAUGCCUGUAAUCCCAGCACUUUGGGAGGCCGAGGCAGGCAGAUCAGGAGGUCAAGAGAUCAAGACCAUUCUGGCCAACAUGGUGAAACCCCGUCUCUACUAAAACUACAAAACUUAGCUGGGUGUGGAGGCACGUACGUGUAGUGGGAGGCUGAGGUGGGACAAUCGCUCGAAUGCAGGAGAAUCACUUGAACUUGGGAGGUGGAGGUUGCAAUGAGCCGAGAUCACACCACUGCAUUCCAGCCUGGCAAUAGAGUGAGACUCCAUCUCGAGAGAGAGGGAGAGAGAGAGAGAGAGAGAGAGAGAGAGAGAGAGAGAGAGAGAUUGGGUGUCUGCACUAAGUUUGGCAUCAAUAUGGUGAUGUCCCGGGAGAGGGGAACCACCAGGUUGCCUAAGGAGAGGUGAACCGGCCCAGGUCAGAAAUGGAGCAGGUCAAAACUCUGGUACUGAUCAGUAGUGGGAUCAUGCCUGUGAAUAGCCACUGCACUCCAGCCUGGGCAACAUAGUGAGACCCUGUCUCUA